GACGAACGCUGGCGGCGUGCCUAAUACAUGCAAGAAGAACGCAGUUGCGAAAGGGUGAGUAACGCGUAGGAAAUUGCCUGGGAGCGGGGGAUAACUAUGGGAAACGAUAGCAAAUACCGCAUACUACAAGAUGGACUUGAGUUGUAUUAGCUAGUUGGUGAGGUAACGGCUCACCAAGGCAACGAUACAUAGCCGACCUGAGUGGGUGAUCGGCCAAACUGGGACUGAGACACGGCCCAGACGCCUACGGGAGGCAGCAGUAGGGAGUCUUCGGCAAUGGGGGGAACCCUGACCGAGCAACGCCGCGUGAGUGAAGAAGGUUUUCGGAUCGUAAAGCUCUGUUGUUAAGGAAGCGGUACUUAACCAGAAAGGGACGGCUAACUACGUGCCAGCCGCCGCGGUAAUUC
rnacentral:rRNA from 1 species